UACGGAGGGGGCUAGCGUUGUUCGGAAUUACUGGGCGUAAAGCGCACGUAGGCGGCUUUGUAAGUUAGAGGUGAAAGCCCGGGGCUCAACUCCGGAAUUGCCUUUAAGACUGCAUCGCUAGAAUUGCGGAGAGGUAAGUGGAAUUCCGAGUGUAGAGGUGAAAUUCGUAGAUAUUCGGAAGAACACCAGUGGCGAAGGCGACUUACUGGACACAUAUUGACGCUGAGGUGCGAAAGCGUGGGGAGCAAACAGG
rnacentral:rRNA from 1 species